GAAAUGCGAUAAGUAAUGUGAAUUGCAGAAUUCCGUGAAUCAUCGAAUCUUUGAACGCACAUUGCGCCCUCUGGUAUUCCGGGGGGCAUGCCUGUCCGAGCGUCAUUGCACACCCUCAAGCGCGGCUUGUGUGUUGGGCCCCCGCGUCCUUGCCAUUUAAAGGACGGGCCCGAAAGGCAUUGGCGGCGUCGCGGUUAUCCGAUCAGCCAGAGCGUAUGGGGACUCUGUUCACACGCCCGCGGCGCGGACCGACGUCUGCCAAUCGAUUUUACAUCAUUUUUUUUCUCGGUUGACCUCGGAUCAGGUAGGGAUACCCGCUGAACUUAAGC
rnacentral:misc_RNA from 1 species